AUGAAAGGGAUCCGAACUCUAAAUAAAUUAUCCAUACGAUGCUAUGCAGCCAGGAGGAGUGAUGUCCUCACUGAGCCCUUGGCUGGCCUGAAGGCUGGGGUGGCCCUGCCCCCCAGAGUGUCCAAGCUGCCCAACGGUCUAGUGAUUGCGUCGUUGGAGAACUACUCUCCGUGUCCAGUGUGGGUGUGUUUGUUAAAGCAGGCACUCGUUAUGAGACUGUGGAGAACCAGGGAGUCAGUCAUGUCCUGCGGUUGGCAGCCAACCUGACUACUAAGGGAGCGUCUGCGUUCAGGAUCUGUCGUGGUGUGGAGGCACUAGGGACCACCCUCCACGUAACGUCAUCGAGGGAGACCAUGGUUUACUCUGUGGAGUGUUUGAGAGACCACUUAGACACAGUGAUUGAGUACCUGAUCAACGUGACUAUGACCCCAGAGUUCCGGCCAUGGGAGGUGGACGACCUGACCUCCAGGGUCAAGGUAGACCGGGCCCUGGCCCACCAGUGUUCACAGAUAGGUGUCAUUGAGAAGUUGCAUGAAGCUGCUUACAAAAACGCUCUAUCCAACUCCCUGUACUGUCCUGACUACAUGGUUGGCAAAGUCAGUGGUGAACAGCUGCAGUCCUUUGUCCAGAACAAUUUCACCAGUGCCAGAAUGGCUCUUGUAGGACUAGGUGUGAAUCACUCAGUGCUGAGGCAGGUAGGAGAGCAGUUUCUCAGUGUCCGCAGUGGGGCUGGAGUUGCUGGGGCCAAGGCUGUAUACCGCGGAGGUGAGCUGCGGGUGCAGAACGGGGCCGGUCUGGUCCACUCGCUGAUCGCCAGCGAGGGCGGUGUGACUGGAUCAGCAGAGGCCAAUGCCUUUAGUGUGCUGCAAAGGGUUCUGGGAGCCGGGCCACACGUAAAGAGAGGCUCCAACGUCACCAGCAAACUGAGCCAGGGCAUCGCCAAUGCAACCACACAGCCCUUCGAUGCCACAGCCUUCAAUGCCACAUACGCUGACUCUGGACUCUUUGGAGUCUACUCCAUCGCCCAAGCCGACUCCGCAGGAGAGGUGAUAAAAGCUGCAAUCGCCCAGGUGACAGGGGUUGCGAAGGGAGGCGUGUCCGAGGACGAUGUCACCAGAGCAAAGAAGCAGUUGAAAGCUGAGUACCUGAUGUCCAUGGAGAGUUCCGAGGGCCUGCUGGAGGAGAUGGGGGCCCAGGCUCUAUCCAGCGGAGCCUACCACUCACCAGAGACAGUUACAGUACUGAUUUUUGUGUGCAUCCUACAUUUACAUUUAUUUAUAGCAGAUCAGCUGGGGACACAGAAGGGAAAUAAGGGACAAUGUGAUAAGUGUAUUAUUUUGUUUUUCCAGGCUGCGAGAAAGUUUGUGGACGGCAAGAAAUCGAUGGCAGCUAGUGGACACCUCACCAACACACCCUUCGUGGAUGAAUUGUGAAAAGAAAUCAACCAUAAACAAUGAAACAGUUAUUUAACAUUUUAACCUGGGCAGGUUGUGCCUGGCUGCUUACUCCAGAAAAAGGAACCUGGUUCUGAUAUGAAGCCCAUGACUUCAUCUCACAGCAAACGAUAAUCCUUUGUUAACAAAUCAUGUUAAAGUUUGUUCUGCAAUAAUUGUACACAGGUAUCAGGAAUAAUUAUGCUUUUUGUUGUCAAUAUCUCUGUAUAUUUGAUGUAAAUUCAUUAAAUGGUCUAUCUACA